UACGGAGGGUGCGAGCGUUGUCCGGAAUCAUUGGGCGUAAAGGGCGCGUAGGUGGCCCAGUCAGCGUGCGGUGAAAGCUCGGGGCUCAACCCCGAGUCGGCCGUGCGAACUACUGGGCUGGAGCACUGUAGAGGCAGGCGGAAUUCCGGGUGUAGCGGUGGAAUGCGUAGAGAUCCGGAAGAACACCGGUGGCGAAGGCGGCCUGCUGGGCAGUUGCUGACACUGAGGCGCGACAGCGUGGGGAGCAAACGGG
rnacentral:rRNA from 1 species